GCUCACUUCGGCCGCACAUAUACUAAAACGGGGCUGAUACAGAGAAGAUUAGCAUGGCCCCUGCGCAAGGAUGACACACCGAUUCGUGAAGCGUUCCAUGAUUUU